GGGGAAGAAAUUCAGUAUAGAAGCCAAAGGGGAAAUACUAGUCAAGGUCUCACAAAUUAUGGGGUUAAUAAAACCAUCGAGGCUGAAGAUGGUGAUGUCUAUGAUUGCAUCAAUAUGAAUAGACAACCAGGCUUUAACCAUCCAUUGUUGAAAGAUCAUACAAUUCAGAAGCACAACUACCUAGCUACUGCAGAAUGCCCUAUAGGAACCAUCCCAGUACUACGCAACAAGAAACAAGACUAUCUCAAUUCAGAAUACCAAUGCAGUCAGCACCAGUCAACAAAAAAAGGGGUCACAAUAAAUGUUUACGAGCCAAAGGUGAAGCAUCAUUGGGUUCCUAGUGGAUCAUGGAUACAAAUUGAAAAUGGCACAGGAUGUGGAGAUGUGAAUGAUGAAGCGCAAAACAAAUCUUGCACUGACCACAGCCGUCCUGGUUUCGUUCAAGUAAUGGGCAGUUAUACAAAGUGGGGUGGAUAUGUUCAGGGUCCAACCGUCUAA
rnacentral:lncRNA from 1 species